UACGAGAGGUCCAAGCGUUAGUCGGAAUCACUGGGCUUAAAGGGUGCGUAGGCGGAUCGGUAAGUGUCUUGUGAAAGCCCCUGGCUCAACCAGGGAACUGCAUGGCAUACUGCCGAUCUUGAGGAAGGUAGAGGCGGGCGGAACGAUAGGUGGAGCGGUGGAAUGCGUAGAGAUCUAUCGGAACGCCAAGGGUGAAGACAGCCCGCUGGGCCUUUCCUGACGCUGAGGCACGAAAGCGUGGGGAGCAAACAGG
rnacentral:rRNA from 1 species